UGUGACCUCAGGUGUACCAGGUGUCAGAUCGUGACCCAGGAGUGCCAAAUGGAGAAGAGCGUCAUUCUUCACACUCUUCUGAGUCUCAGUUUUCCUGUGAUGGACGAACAUCCACCAUCACCGCCUCCAUCAACAGAUUGCUACGGGUCCCUGGGGUGCUUCCCUGUGGGCGGUGUGUGGGCGGGGAGAGAGAGACCAGUGUCAGUGGCACCCAUGCCACACCACCUCAUCACGCCCACAUUCUGCUUCCACACGCCCACACGCCCACACUGUCAUAUUCUGGAUCCUCAGGAUUUCUUCAGCAUCUAUAACUCCAGCCUGGACCCCAGCGCCCCGCUCCUGCUGCUUACCCAUGGGUAUCUUGAAUCUGGAGAGCUGGAGUGGGUGCAGCGGAUGGUGCAGUCACUGCUGAGGUGGUCUGAGGACGUGGGUACUGGCGUGGGUGCUGGCGUGGGCCCUGGCGUGGGCGCUGGCAUGGGCGUGGUGAUAGUGGACUGGUGGAAAGGCGCCCAGCCUCCCUACACUCAGGCUGUGGCUAACAGCCGUCUGGUGGGCGCCAGCACUGGCUACCUCAUCCAUGUUCUGGCGGAGUACUACAGUGUGGCCCUCAGCUCCGUACACCUGGUGGGUCACAGUCUGGGUGCCCACGUCAUGGGUUAUGCUGGCAAGUAUGUCAAGGCUGUCAGAGGAGAGAAGGUGGGUCGUAUCACUGGGCUUGAUCCAGCAGGACCUUACUUUACUAACACCGCCCCGGAGGUACGACUGGACCCCAGUGAUGCAGACUUCGUAGAUGUCAUCCACACUGACAUCCCCACAGAGCUCUGGCAGCUGGGAAAGAUGGGCCAUCCAGGUGCAAUUGGACACAUGGACUUUUAUCCAAAUGGAGGUUCUGACCAGGCAGGCUGUCUGGGUUCUGUUGUGCUCCACAUAGACAACGAGAGGACCGUCGCAGAGGGAAUACUGACCUACAUUGGCUGUAAUCACCAGAGGUCACACGACUACUUCACUGAGUCCAUCCUCUCUAAGUGCAGGUUUGUGGGUGCAGCAUGUCCAUCUUGGGAAGAGUAUAAGCAUGGGGUGUGCUGGGGGUGUCAGCACACCCUCUGUGCUACUAUGGGCUUCCAUGCCAGACCCCUACAUAUCCAUACACCAUCUACUCCUCGUGACAACAAACAAGACACUUCUAGUGGCAGUCACAUCCCAAAUACUAUCAAUAACUUCAGCUCUAUGGACAUGUCAGCGGCUGCCCAAAACAUCAGCGGUAUGGAGAAUAGAAAGGACAGUGGGAGACAGUCGUCAGUAGAACCUGAAGAGUCAUCAGUCAAGGUGUUCCUUGGUACCAGUCCUCAGGCACCCUUCUGUGGUGAACAGUACAGAGUGAGUGUGGUAACAGCCUUGACCCCGGCCUCCCUCAGGAGUGGAGGUGAUCUUGCCAGGUUCACCGUCACACUGCAAGGUCAUCGAGGUCAAUACACAAUCCCUGCACCCCAGAGGCCAACAUUUGUGGAGGCUGGAGGAAGAAUGUCUUGGCUGGGCUUCACUCCUUCACUGGGGCACCUGCAUGCCCUCCAGGUGGAGUAUGAGAAGGAUCAUGGCUUCCUUCAUGCUCUCAUCUUCAGGUUCAACCCACCAACUCUUUAUGUGGAUUACUUCGACAUUGAAGAACUCUCUACUGGGCUUUUAACACGCUUCCACUUGUGUGGGAAGCAAAUGGAAGCUGGAAGGAGCUACACACUUGUCCCAAAAACCCAGUGCUUGCCCCUAGAGUGACUUCACCCAGAGCGCACCUCCACAUACUAAUUUGUAAAAUUUUGUAUGUCCUGUGAGAGUGGUGUUGGCAACUCAUCAAAAACCAAGGCAGAAAGACGAUAGUGCACAGCCACCUUAACUCCAGACAGUCGCAGAGCUUCAAUCAUGAUGUCGAUGCUAGGAUUGAUAUAAAACUCAUCAAUCUCUAAACUCUCUAGAGCUCGUAGAUGCUUGAAUGUAGUUUCAUCCUGGAGAACACACAAAAUAGUUACACUACAUAUAGCAAACUUACUUGUCUGGUACACAAAGUGAAACCUAUAAUUUUUACGUGUGCACACAUUGCCCUGAUGUAACAAUCUCUGUUACUUUACUACAGUUCCAAGCAGUGCUGUAUGACCUUAGUGGGCUUAGCAAUUGGUUUUGAUUAUAAUAAUAGUAAUUACAGUCCCAAUAAUAUAAGCAUCAGCCUCACAAAGUGUAUCAAAAGUUUUCUCGCCCUCAAAAUGAAUUAUAGUUUGCUUGAAAAGGCCAGAAAGGCAAUAUCUAUGUAAGAAAGGAGGUAGAGAAGGGGAAGAAGGUGCAUGUGCAUACAUGUGUAUGUACGUUUUCGUGGAGUUUUGCUCAGCAUGUAACAUUAUCUAUUAUUAAAUUGUCAUGUUUACUGUAGGUGUAUAAAUUAUAUUAAUUUGGAAGGGAGAAGGAAGCACUUUCAGUUGUAUUUACUGAAUUAGAGUAAAAUACCCAUACAGUACAUGGCUAGUUGUAAAUUUUAACAGUUGUAUGCCGUUCAGGACAUUUAUUAGA